rnacentral:tRNA from 1 species
GGUUAUGGCUCAGUUGGUAGAGUGCUUUUCUAGCACAUGUGAGGCACUGGGUUCAAUCCUCAGCACCA